AAAGAUUAAGCCAUGCAUGUCUAAGCACAUGCCUUAAUACGGUGAAGCCGCGAAUAGCUCAUUACAACAGCCACCGUUUACUAGAAUAUAGUAAUCCUACAUGGAUAACUGUGGCAAUUCUAGAGCUAAUACAUGCACACAAGCUCCGCCCGCAAGGAACGAGCGCAUUUAUUAGAAUAAAAACCAAUCGGGUUUCGGCCCGUAAUUUGGUGAAUCUGAAUAACUUUGCCAAUCGCACAGUCCUAGUACUGGCGAUGUAUCUUUCAAGUGUCUGCCUUAUCAACUUUCGAUGGUAGGUUAUACGCCUACCAUGGUAGUAACGGGUAACGGAGAAUAAGGGUUCGACUCCGGAGAGGGAGCCUGAGAAACGGCUACCACAUCCAAGGAAGGCAGCAGGCGCGCAAAUUACCCACUUCCAGAACGGAGAGGUAGUGACGAAAAAUAACGAGACAGUCCUCUUCGAGGUCUGUCAUCGGAAUGGGUACAAUUUAAAUCCUUUAACGAGGAUCUAUUGGAGGGCAAGUCUGGUGCCAGCAGCCGCGGUAAUUCCAGCUCCAAUAGCGUAUAUUAAAGUUGUUGCGGUUAAAACGCUCGUAGUUGGAUCUGCGGCCUCGGAGAACGGUCCCCCGAAAGGGCGGUCACUGUCUCUCCUAGCCUAAAUUCGAGUCGUCUCUAGGUGCUCUUUACCGAGUGCUUGGAGUGACUAGAACGUUUACUUUGAAAAAAUUGGAGUGCUUAAAGCAGGCGAAAUAGCCUGGAUAAGGUGCAUGGAAUAAUGGAAUAGGACCUCGGUUCUAUUUUGUUGGUCUUCGGAACCCGAGGUAAUGAUUAAGAGGAACAGACGGGGGCAUUCGUAUUCCGGCGCUAGAGGUGAAAUUCUUGGACCGCCGGAAGACGGACGACUGCGAAAGCAUUUGCCAAGAAUG
rnacentral:rRNA from 1 species